CUCUGUGUUUCGGCCCAAGCUCCCACCCCUAAACCUACCCAACACUGAAUUAACUUAACUUUUAGGAAGUCAAUUACGUGUUGGUGGGGUGUGGUCGUAUGGUGUGUUCUUGACGGCCGACGGAUCAUACCGUAGAGUUGUUGAGCUGAAUUAAACUUGAUUUGCUUGCCAAUUUUGACUUCAUAGCCGAUGGUUCAGAAUUAUAUCAUCUUGUUCAAAUUUUUCUUGUUGCGUGAGUGUGAAAACAGCGUCUUCGCCAACACACUGGAUUUGGUUUGGGGAGCAGUUUGCUUGGAGAUAUGGUGGAAUUAAUUUUCCAUUGUUACAGUAUGUUGGUUUCGAGAUUCGCGAUUUUGAGAAAAUUCUACAAUUUAUGUUUGAUAUCCUUGUGGAAAUAUUUUUGCAGGCCGCUUGUGAGUAUUGGAAGAGCGUAGUUGUAGUAGCAGCUUUUUUAAACAAUCAUCGACUCAUUACGAUACGAGUUGAUAGAGAGGAGAUUUCUGGAGAGUGGGUUCGAGGUGACUGUCGCAAGUCGUUGGGAGGCAGGGAUCUGCUAUCCAGCAGCUCGACCGAGUCCCGGGGAUGUGCAGCUGAGGGAGGACGAUUGCUUGUGGUGUAACAGAACACUCGAAGCUGUAGGAAAUAGUAACACAUUUGCUAUUUACCAAAUGUGGAAUGAAGGGCUUAGUAACUUCUGCAUUAAGAUUGUCUCAGAAGGGUGUGUCGCUUCAGUACAUGUCAACUACUUGUGGUUGCGUCCUAUGUAUUAGCGGAGUGAACUGAUUGAUCUCCUAACGGUGCGGCGGCACCAAAUCAACUUGGGACACGGUUUUAUACAGGCCAACUGUGCAUGUUGCGGAGACUCGUUCGGUGAGGGGCUCUAGUGUGAACAGUUCCAACACUCUCCCUCACACAAGAGCCCGUGAAAAGACCUUCUCUCCCUAUUUGGUACUCAUGUCAUUGUACGAUGAAAUCGAGAGAUUGCCAUAAUGGUAGAUCUUCUGCUUGGGUUUGUGGGCGAUGGUGAUCAUCGUCCGUCGUUUGUUUCUUGAAUUGAUGAAUUGGUUGGUGUCGGUGUUGGGUAUUGAUGGUGUGUGUUCUUCGUGUUUGAUACCAGGGUUGCCUGUCGAGGUUGUUCGGAGAUGUGGAUUAGGAAUGCAAGAAAUUUGUUUCUAUUGUUUCGUUUUAGGAGAGUGAGCAAGAGAUGGUACCGGGAAAUAGGAGGGACGGUUGAUUGGGUUGCGGCAGAAUUUAUCAGGCUUAAUACGCCGGGGUAUCUGCGCAGCGUAGGAAGGACGAGUUCGGGGGCGAAGGAUUCGUUACGCCGCAACCGUGAGGACCUUGCCUCCUUCGAGGCGUUGUUGGCGGAAGAUGUUGGUGAGGCGUUGGGAGUAGAGAGUUGAGGAGACAAUAGUUCUGAAGAUUUUUACCGAGCUGAUAUCCUUGUGUUUGAGCUCGCGGAGGAGUGUCCGGAUCCACGUCGCUUUCUUGGCCGCGUCGGGUCGGAUUCCAUUAGGUUCUGGAGUGGCUCUGGAGGCCUUCGUCCAUCGAUGUCGUGCUGGGGUUGCACUUUGCCAUGCCGAACAUGUCGAGGAGGAUUUCGGCAUAGCGUGUCUGUAGCAGGACUAUUCCUUUGGCGGGGUAAAUGAAUUGCAGCCUCACAUAGACCUGCAUACGGCCGAGAUUCGACAUUUGGUAGAUAUUUUCCAAGGCGCUUUGGAGAGAGGAGACAGCAUUGGCAUCGUCCCCAGUGAUUUGUAUAUCAUCCACGUACAAGAUGAGAAUGGUAUAUAAUCCGUGGGCAGAAAUUGCAAAGUACAAGUUGUAGUCCAACUCACUGCGGGUUAAUCCGUGCUGGUGAAGGAAGGAGUCAAUGUUGGUGUACCAAGCUCUUCCUGAUUGCUUAAGGCCGUAGAUGGCCUUGAGAAGCUUGCACACAAGGCAGCCUUGGUGCUUUAGGCCGUCGGGUUGUACCAUAUAAACCUCCUCUUGUAGGGAUCCAUUGAGGUAGGUCGAUUUGACGUCGAGGUGCUUGAUCGGCCAAGUCUGGGCGGAUGCCAUGGCGAGAUGAUUUGUAUUGUUACCCACUUUACGGUGGGAGAGAAUGUUUCCUCAAAGUUGAUGCCCGGGCGUUGCUGGAAUCCCCGGGCAACUGAGCGGGCUUUCAGCUUCUCAGAUUUUCCAUCAGCAGCUAUUUUCGUCUUAAACACCCACUUUGUUGAAAUGGGCAAUUUGCCUGCUGGGAGUGGAAUGAGCUGCCAGGUGCGAUUGGAGAUGAGGGAGGCGAGAUAGAGCCAUGUUUCUGGCGCAGUCGUGGAUGGUUUUGUGUUAAUGUUCUGCGACUCCGUUUUGGUUGGGAGAGUAGGGUGCAGUGAGAUCCCGACAAAUGCCGUGCUGAUCGCAAAAAUUCUUGAACUCAUGGACAUGAAUUUCCCGCCACGGUCGGUUCAUAAGGCCCUUAUCCGGUAGUGGGUUUCUUCAGUAGCUUUAAAAGCUUGAAAUUUGUUAAGUGCGGUUUCUUUGGUGGGUAGGAAGAAAGUCCAGGUGCGCCUGCUGUAGUUAUCGGUUAGUGCGAGGGAGUACUUUGAGCCUCCGAGCGAGGGUGUGGUGAACGGGCCGCAAAGGUCAGUAUGAAGGAGUUGGAAGGGAUGAGUGGCGCGGUUCGAACUUUGUUUCGGAGCGGCAGUCUUUUGCUGUUUUGCGUGGACGCAUUCUUUGCAAAAUACUUGUGUUGAUGGCAGGUGCGGGAGUCCUCGUUCUUGGCCUGAUUUCGAGAAAGCAUGCAGCACCCAGUAAUUGAUGUGCCCGAGGCGUCGGUGCCACAGUUUGGUCUUGUCAUGGGCUGUGAGGAGGAGUUGUGGUGGACCGGGCUGGGGCAGCUCCGGUCGUGGACAAUGAGAUGGGUUUUUCAGCGGUGUUCCUGGAGGGAGAAGUCUGUACAGUCCGUUGGCAUUGUCUCUAAUUCUCUUGGCCAAUAUAGUUGACGGUGAAGUAUUGGUUGCGAUCCAACAUGACUGGCUUGUGAAGAAAACCACAUACCCUUUGUCCGCUAGCAUGCCAACGCUUAGUAAAUUCUUGCGUACCCCUCGUACGUGCAAAGCGUUGUGGACCUGUUGUGUGCCUUGUGCGUGACGAAUGAUACUGUUGCCCUCCCCAUUGACUUGGUGACAAUUUCCUGGGAUGGAACGUACACUUGUUAUCGCAUGUGGCAUUUUCAGAUUUUUGAGAUUGUGGGGGUUACCUGUGACGUGAACUGAUGCGCCGCUCUCAAAGUACCAAUGUCAUCUCUGUCCAAGUUGAGUGCGAGCAUGGAAACGUCAAAGAAUUAUGGUUCUUUGUUGUCGGGUUUCUCCUGCUCGCUCUUCUUUUCAUCUUCUGCGGUUACAGAGUACGUUGGUUGUUUGCGUGUUUGGAUUCGUCUUUGCCAACGGGGGUGGUGACAUUCGCGUGCCCAAUGCCCCCACUCUCUACAAUUGUUACAUCGACCGUUCCGCUUUAUGUUAUCAGAAGUUUGCUUGAGUUCAUUGUCAUGGUGCUGGUAUGAUGGAAUGGAUCCCGUGCUGGGUCGUUUGUUUAGGUGUCUCCCCCGUCCAUGAAACAUCAUGGCGUCUCCAUGUUCUCGUGGCCUAAUUGUUCUUUAUUGUUCUUCGAUUAGGAGCCGACUGGAGAGCUUUUUGAAGGAUGAAAGAUUGUCUUGGCCCAUGAGCCCUUGAAUGAAUGGUUCAUAUGCGACUGGUAACGUGGUGUGCACGAUGCGGUCGGUAGAGAGUACCUCACCUGCUGCCUGGAGUUGGAAGGUGAGUACUCUGGUGCAACGGAUGUACUCGGCCAUGGAUUGUGAUUCCUCAAAGUGCAGAGCUUGUAAUUGGUCGAACAGGUAGACGGUCCUGGCUGUGUUUUUGCUCUCAUAAAGUUUGUGAAGAGUACGCCAACACUCUGCGGGGUCUAUUUUUGUAGCUAUGUGGUGGAUGAUGUUGUCUUUGACGGAGCUGAACAUAGUAAGUGCUUUGAUUUUUUCUUUCUCGAUUGCUUCAGAUGUUAGCAGCGAAUUGGUGUUGAUAACUUCCGCUCCAUCUUGUUCGAUGGUACUGGUUGAGGAUGUUCUGUUAUCCGUAUACCAGACGCUCUCUCGCAUAAAUGCGAACUUUAUUCGGACCUUCCAGGCGAUGAAGUUGAGAUCGCCCUCUAACUUGUUUGAUUUUGACAUGAAGAAGUUCUCGUCUUGACUCGUGACUUGCAAUAUUGGCGCUGUUUGAUUGCAAGCUCUUCUUUGCGUAUUGUUCCUGUUGCUUCUUGUGAAGUGCGAUUGUACUACCGUGCUGCAAUUUUGGGUCUUGGCGUUCAUCCUUUGCUCCUGGUGCGGGUCGAUUGUUGCCGUGCUGUGACUAAUGGUGCCUGACCUCCAUUUGUCUACUGCUGUUGCAGAUGUAUUGCUGCCGUGCUGCCUAGCUGCUUGUCUACUAGAAUAAUAUUGGCAGAGAUUGCAGAGAUUUUCAGACUAGUGUAUGUGCUCCUUCAUGCACUAGAGAUAGUUAUAGCUAAUGUGCGGUUUUGGCAUGUUGCUCUAACAAGUAGAAAGUGCUGAGAUAAUGUUGCUUGUCUGGCAUUUGAUCAAGCUAUUCCUACUAUAAGUGCUUUGAUACCAUGUAGGAAAUAGUAACACAUUUGCUAUGUACCAAAUGUGGAAUGAAGAGCUUAGUAACUGCUGUAUUAAGAUUGAUUUAGAAGAGGGAGUCACUUAAAGUACAUGUCAAUAUUUGUAGUUGUGUUAUAUCUUUUAGCAAAGAGAAUUAAUUGAUUUUUUAAUGAUGUGGUAAUAUCAAAUCGACAAUAUGGGAUACCAUUUUAUGCAA